UGGGGAAUUGUUCACAAUGGGCGCAAGCCUGAUGACGCAACGCCGCGUGGGGGAUGAAGGUCUUCGGAUUGUAAACCCCUGUCGAAUGGGACGAAAGACUCGCGAGUUAAUACUUCGCGGGAGUGACGGUACCGUUAAAGGAAGCCACGGCUAACUCUGUGCCAGCAGCCGCGGUAAUACAGAGGUGGCAAGCGUUGUUCGGAAUUACUGGGCGUAAAGGGCGCGUAGGCGGCCUACUAAGUCAGACGUGAAAUCCCCCGGCUUAACCUGGGAACUGCGUCUGAUACUGGAAGGCUUGAGUAUGGGAGAGGGAUGUAGAAUUCCAGGUGUAGCGGUGAAAUGCGUAGAUAUCUGGAGGAAUACCGGUGGCGAAGGUGGCAUCCUGGACCAUUACUGACGCUGAGGCGCGAAAGCUAGGGGAGCAAACGGGAUUAGAUACCCCAGUAGUCCCUGAGCGGGCUGGCAAGGCGCAU
rnacentral:rRNA from 1 species